GAGUGUUACAGCUCUUUUAGAAUUUGUCUAGCAGGCUUUCCGGUGUUUGCCAGAAAGCAUCC
rnacentral:snRNA from 1 species